rnacentral:lncRNA from 1 species
AGGCACAUAGUUGGCGAGUCCCCGGGUACGCAAGGAUAAAACGCGAGAAGGACAGAGCCCCUUCCCGGCAAGCUAGUCUUAGACGGAAAAGCAAGUAAAGUAGCAUUGAAUAUAAUAAAGCUUGAGCAAGCGAGUUCACAAAUAGCAUUCGGAAUGACAAGAAAAGGCUAACACAAAGAAACUCUAAGGCGCCUUGUGCCACUUGCAGGAAAAUAAAAACAAAAAACGAGCAGAUAAUUAUGCAGGAGGCGCUCUCGGGGCGGCUGUGUCGGCGUCAGGUGCAUCCUCGACACCGGGGGCUUCUCCAGCGACCUCCUCGCCAGCGGCUUCGGCUUCAUCGACCUUGCCCUGCAUCCACGCCACCAUCUCAUCCACCACGCCC